CCUGCGGAUGCAGCUGUGUUUGCCCGGCGUGCGGCUUCCUCUUGCCUGCUCUCUUCUGAGCUCUCAGCCAAUCCGGCAUCUCCUGAAAGAAAUGGGAGUAAUCGUAGGGGGUCCACCACUCAAAGACUGGACAUAUCAAAGACAACCUGGUGCAUGGUCUAUGUUGCCACGCUAUUUUAAACAUGACCUCAGGGGCGGCGCCUGCGGCUCAGUCGCUGGAACCAGGGCUGUUGAAGAGAAGAAAAAGAAGGUUCCUGCUGCGCCAGAAACCCUUAAGAAAAAGCGAAAGAAUUUCGCAGAGCUGACGCUCAAGCGUCUGAGAAAGAAGUGUGCCCAAAAGAUGCUUUGAAAGGCAAGGAGGAAGCUUAUCUAUGAAAAAGCUAAGCAUCAUCAUAAAGAAUAUAGGCAGAUGUACAGAACUGAGAUUCGGAUGGCUAGGAUGGCAAGAAAAGCUGGCAACUUCUAUGUACCUGCAGAACCAAAAUCGGCAUUUGUCAUCAAAUCCGAUCAGAGGUAUCAAUGGUGUGAGUCCGAAGGUCCGAAAGGUGUUGCAGCUUCUUCUCCUUUGCCAAAUCUUCAAUGGAACUUUUGUUAAGCUCAACAAGCCUUCCAUCAACAUGCUGAGGAUUGUAGAACCAUAUAUUGCAUGGGGGCACCCAAAUCUGAAGUCAGUAAAUGAGCUAAUCUACAAGCGUGGUUAUGGCAAAAUCACUAAGAAACAAAUUGCGUUGACUGAUAACAGUUCGAUUGCGCGAUCUCUUGGUAAAUAUGGCAUCAUCUGCAUGGAGGAUCUGAUUCAUGAGAUCUAUACUGUUGGAAAACGCUUCAAAGAAGCAAAUAACUUCUUGUGGCCCUUUAAGUUAUCAUCUCCACGGGGAGGGAUGAAGAAAAAAACAACCCACUUCGUAGAAGGUGGAGAUGCUGGUAAUAGGGAAGAUCAAAUCAAUAGGCUUCUUAGAAGAAUGAACUAAGGUAUCUGCCCUGAUUGUUUUUGUAAUCUGGUCAGUUAAUAAACAGUGACUGCUUUCAAAUUGAAA